CUUAGAUCAAACCCCUCCCCCAUCGCACCCCUCCUCCCUCCUCCCAAUCUCCUUGCUGCCGCCGCCACCUCCUCCCCGUCCCGGCCCCUCCCCCUCCUCCUCGACCACGCCUCGUCGGAGAGAGAGAGAGGCGUCGCCCCCAGCGACUACGGUUGUUCCCCCCUCCUCCCUCCUCCUUCGCGCCUCGCCCACGGCGCGCCGCCCCGGCGCGCUGCCGCUGCUAUUUAUUCCCUCCAAAUCACCAUUGCCCACAGCAGCAAGGAAUCAAGAUCCAAUCCCCUCCCCUCCCAUCCACUCCUCCCCCGCGGCAACAGAGAUCCAGCCAGAUCCGCCUAGUUCCAUGGCGACCGCCGGCAACGCCCCCGCUCCCGCAAGCGCAUCGAGGCCACCGUCCUCAAGCACGCGCGCGACGGAAGUGCCUUCACCCGCUGCGAGUGUGCAACAAGAACGUAGCCAUCGUCCUCAUCGACCUUCACAGCUGCAGCCUCGACUCCAAGAUAGGCCUCAGCCUCGAUGCGUCUCAGCUCCUCACCUCUUCCAACGCAUCUUCGGUUUGGGCGGCCGGGCUGGAGGCUGGAGCAGAUCUGGAGUUUAAUUUUCCAUAGUCAGGUUGUAAUAAUUUUCAACUUAUAGCCGGGUUGCUCUGCUCUCAGUAACUUGUAGUUUUGUGAAUGUUCUCAUGUUGAUUCUAUCUUCCGCCUGGCUCAAACAUUAUAACAGCCUACUCGUUUUUAGGAGGAGUGGCAGUAUUAGUUAGUUUUUCUUGGAGGACAGUAAGAUCAUGCUUUGAUCUUGUAUGCUACUAUGGUUAUUUUGUAGGUAGUAUUUGCCAAAGGUUGGAGGUCAACGGUCGUCACAAGCCUACAAGAGAAUAUAUUGACAGAGAGUGUAAUGGUGUAAAACCACCCAAUAAUUUUGGCGAAGUUGAUCCCUGGACCGCGUGGGCGUACAGACCAUGGACCAUCUCGUUGUUACUGAUGGGAACCUGCUUUUUAAUGUACUUCGGAAGUCCUGGAGCUUUUUUGGAGAAUUUUUUCCAAACCCUACCAGACAAAGAAAACAAUUACUUGAUAUAUCAGGAAAUGAACAAAGUUGCUGAUAUGGUGGAUAAUGAUCGAUUUAACUUACUUCUCGAGCAGUUGAGUCAUGUCCGCAUAGUCCUGGGGAUCUUUUCGUUUUGAGUCUAAGACAGUUACUAGUCCCUGCUCAAGCUUAAUCUCUAGGAGAAUAUAGUGAUAACUGCACACACAUGCAUAACUCAUUAAUUACAUUACUAUAAUCUUGACUAAUAUAUAUAAGGGAAACCGAAUACGCACAAGACAGUAACACUCACUUGAAGUUGUAAGGAAAGAGUAUUAUAUCUUUGUUUUCAUUUAUUACCAACGAUCAUAGCAAGUUGGCCUCGGUAUCUGCGGCAUGAAAUUUAACCUGAGUUGCAUCUAUGAGAUAUGUGUUAAUGAACCCAA